AUUGAACGCUGGCGGCAUGCCUUACAUAUGCAAGUCGAACGGUAACGGGCCUUCGGGUGCCGACGAGUGGCGAACGGGUGAGUAAUGCAUCGGAACGUACCUUUCAGUGGGGGAUAACGUAGCGAAAGUUACGCUAAUACCGCAUAUUCUGUGAGCAGGAAAGCAGGGGAUCGCAAGACCUUGCGCUGAUUGAGCGGCCGAUGUCAGAUUAGCUAGUUGGUGAGGUAAAGGCUCACCAAGGCGACGAUCUGUAGCGGGUCUGAGAGGAUGAUCCGCCACACUGGGACUGAGACACGGCCCAGACUCCUACGGGAGGCAGCAGUGGGGAAUUUUGGACAAUGGGGGCAACCCUGAUCCAGCCAUGCCGCGUGAGUGAAGAAGGCCUUCGGGUUGUAAAGCUCUUUCGGCCGGGAAGAAAUCGCACAGGCUAAUACCUUGUGUGGAUGACGGUACCGGAAUAAGAAGCACCGGCUAACUACGUGCCAGCAGCCGCCGUAAUAC
rnacentral:rRNA from 1 species